rnacentral:rRNA from 1 species
ACGUCUCACCAAAUCAUCCUACAUGCUCCCGAUCCCAUCAGCUCUCGGAAACCAAACAGAGUUGAGCCUCGUUAGUACUUAAAUGUGUGACCACCAGGGCUUUCCAGCUGUUGUAGGUA